rnacentral:rRNA from 1 species
GUGAGGAAUAUUGGACAAUGGGCGCAAGCCUGAUCCAGCCAUGCCGCGUGCAAGAAGACGCAUCUAUGGUGUGUAAACUGCUUUUGUACGGGAAGAAACACUCCCUCGUGAGGGAGCUUGACGGUACCGUAAGAAUAAGGAUCGGCUAACUCCGUGCCAGCAGCCGCGGUAAUACGGAGGAUCCAAGCGUUAUCCGGAAUCAUUGGGUUUAAAGGGUCCGUAGGCGGUUUAAUAAGUCAGUGGUGAAAGCCCAUCGCUCAACGAUGGAACGGCCAUUGAUACUGUUAGACUUGAAUUACAAGGAAGUAACUAGAAUAUGUAGUGUAGCGGUGAAAUGCUUAGAUAUUACAUGGAAUACCAAUUGCGAAGGCAGGUUACUACUUGUGGAUUGACGCUGAUGGACGAAAGCGUGGGGAGCGAACAGGAUUAGAAACCCGUGUAGUCC